rnacentral:lncRNA from 1 species
AAACAUUUUAUUUUGCUGAAGGUUUUGAACUAUUAAUUACCAGUAACAUUCCAAAGUUCAGUGUUUCUCUACCAACCAUUCCCUUGCUUGCUAGGAGCUUAACCAGCUCCCUCCUCACCACCCCUGCUGCUUCUCUUGUUUCCUCUUUGCAUCCAAGCUUGUAGCAACCCCUGUUUGAUCUAGGUGGAAAAAAGAGCACUAAAUAUACCUUAGUUCUAGGUUACAGCUCAACAAAAAAGGACUUUUUUUUUUUUUUUUUUUUUUUUAAUUGGACAGGGUGUUUGCCUAACAUGGAAGGUCCCUGGCAGACCAGCACACAGCCAGUGCAGUUCUUUGGUUUGCAACACCAACAUGUAAGCUGGGGCUGGGUGAAGAUUCAGGUGGUGAAGAUGUCUGGGGAGGCAGUGCCAUCACACGGCGCACAUCCAGCAGGUGCACAGCAAUCCCACGUGCCACCCCAUGUGUCAAACAGCUCUGAUGGCUGCAGGCCAACAUCCUCAGCAGGUGUGGAGUUACUGACACAGCUGAAUGGCAGGAGGCCUUGCUGAUCACUGGCCAGCACAAGGCUCCAGCGCUUGGUGUAUCCAUGGCGGGACAUGGAGCUUGGCUGGAUCCAGCACUGCUGUGUGUAAGUGGAGACAACACCCUAAAAUAGCCAGGGACAAUCAUGGAAAGCAUAAUCUGCACAGAAGAAAGUCAGACACGUUUCCUCCCACGUGCAGUGGGAGUUGUGAUGACUGUCUGGACCAACAUUUCAGCCUUCAGGAGAUAUGAGGCAAUCUGGUACAGCUGUAUCCUCUUUCACUGCGAGCUAUAUGAUGUCAUACCCAGCCUCUGCUGCCAGAGCCUCACAUCACACUUGGGCACUUGCUGCUGCUGAGGAGCUGUGUGAUAACCUGCCAAUCUGCAGUCAUGUGUCAGUGUCUUAAUGGGUGCAAAUUGGGAGUAACCCCAUAAAAGUUGAUUACAGUGGUGGAAAAAAAUGGGCAGUGAGCCUCCUGUGCACUUAUCAGUGAGGCUGGGCCUAUUAGUCAUGAGUUACUCAAAACUGUACAGAGAAAAACAAAUGCCUGGCCAGCACUACUGAAGUAACUGAUUCAAGUUAACAUUUAUGGGAAAUGGUCUGUGUAAUGGGAAACAGC